rnacentral:rRNA from 1 species
UCGGGAAUGGAAAGCCCGGUGCAAGCGGGGUACCAGCCACUUUGGCAAAUCCGGGUGGCAAUGGGAAGCCGUGAUGCGGAGCGAAAUAAAGUAGCGAAGUCCGUGAGCCAUGCGUCAAGAAAAGCCGCUAUCGUUUAUACCGUACCCGUACCGUAAACCGACACAGGUGGAUGAGGAGAGAAUCCUAAGGCCGGCGGAAGAAGCAUUGUCAAGGAACUCGGCAAAAUGGCCCCGUAACUUAGGGAUAAGGGGUGCCUGGGAAACCAGGCCGCAGAGAAUAGGCUCAAGCAACUGUUUAGCAAAAACACAGGUCUAUGCGAAACCGAAAGGUGAGGUAUAUGGGCUGACGCCUGCCCGGUGCUGGAAGGUUAAGAGGAGAGGUUAGCGCAAGCGAAGCUUUGAAUUUAAGCCCCAGUAAACGGCGGCCGUAACAAUAACGGUCCUAAGGUAGCGAAAUUCCUUGUCGGGUAAGUUCCGACCCGCACGAAAGGCGUAAUGAUUUGAGCGCUGUCUCGACAAUGCAUCCGGUGAAAUUGAAGUACCAGUGAAGAUGCUGGUUACCUGCGCCAGGACGGAAAGACCCCAUGGAGCUUUACUCCAGUCUGGUACUGGGACUCGGUAUUGCAUGUACAGGAUAGGUGGGAGGCUGAGAAAUGGUAACGCCAGUUGCCAUGGAGCCGCUGUUGGGAUACCACCCUUGCAGUAUUGGGUUUCUAACCAGCCGCCGUGACCCGGCGGUGGGACAAUGCCAGACGGGGAGUUUGACUGGGGCGGUCGCCUCCGAAAGGGUAUCGGAGGCGCCCAAAGGUUCCCUCAGAAUGGACGGAAACCAUUCGAAGAGUGCAAAGGCAGAAGGGAGCUUGACUGCGACACCGACGGGUGGAGCAGGUACGAAAGUAGGGCUUAGUGAUCCGGUGGUAUUAAGUGGGAAUGCCAUCGCUCAACGGAUAAAAGCUACCCUGGGAUAACAGGCUUAUCACUCCCAAGAGUUCACAUCGACGGAGUGGUUUGGCACCUCGAUGUCGGCUCAUCGCAUCCUGGGGCUGUAGUAGGUCCCAAGGGUUGGGCUGUUCGCCCAUUAAAGCGGUACGCGAGCUGGGUUCAGAACGUCGUGAGACAGUUCGGUCCCUAUCCGGCGUGGGCGUAGGAUAUCUGAGAGGAGCUGUCCUUAGUACGAGAGGACCGGGAUGGACGGGCCGCUGGUGCAUCGGUUAGACUGCCAAGUCUACGGCCGAGUAGCCAAGCCCGGAAGGGAUAAACGCUGAGGGCAUCUAAGCGUGAAGCCCCCCUUAAGAUGAGAUAUCCCAUUCGAAAGAAGUAAACCCCCUUGAAGACGACGAGGUAGAUAGGGCAGAGGUGGAAGUGCAGCAAUGCAUGGAGCUGACUGUUACUAAUCGGGUGAGGGCUUGACCAA